AUUUUCUUUUCACCCUAAAAUCUCUCAAAUACAAGUACUUUCAGCCUAAAAUCCCUAGAGACUCGACCGCUAACCGAUCGAUCCUUCAAAAUUCAGAAGGUAAAAUUCGAUCGUACCUAAAAUCCCUAGAGAUGGCGAAGCUAAAAUUCAGAAGGUUAUAAAGAAUUAAACUCAGAAAGGUUGCAAAGAGGAGACGACGAAGCUAAAAUCCCUAGGAACGGCCGAUAACUCCUUCAAAAUUCAGAAGGUAAAAAAACUAAGAAAGGUUGCAAAGAGCGAGGCGCCACUUUGUCGUCAUUGUUGAGAGCUCUGUACAGAAUGAACUCUGUUUAAUUUCUUGUUUGGAGGCCUUAAUCCAAAGUACUUUACACAAAUUAUACUAUUGGACUAUCCGCCUAAACAAGAGUUUUGGAUAUUGAAGUACUAGAAGCAUAUUUUUGACGACAUACAGAUUAGCCAUCAUUUUGCCGAGAAUUUCAAGAAAAUUUUACAUUACAAUCGAGAGAUAUUAGUGAUAUGUAAUUUUUUGCUAAAUGUUUAUGAACACAAUAUUGUGACUAGCUUACAUCAUUGAUGUACGGUGCAACUAACUGCUGUUGAGUAUUUUUGGUAUUAUUUUAUGAUAGCAACAUCAUCUAUA